CUGCACCAUCGCCUUCGCCAUCAUCAUCACCAUCACCCCCAUAGGAGGGAGAUGCCUGAAAUAGCGGUGAUUGACAGCUAUGCAGACGCAGUUACUAUAACAACUACCUCCUGGCUCUACCUCUCUCUCUCUCUCUCCUGCCUCCACCACCUUCCCACCUCUUUCUUUUUCAUUUUCUUCCAGCAGUUCACCCCCACCCCGAACGUGUGUGGGAGUGGAGGGAAUGAACGCGGUGAUGAAGACUGCAAAUUUCCUGAGAUGUUUGUGUUGGUCAGGUCAGGUGAAGAUGCUCCCAAUUGUGUAACUGCACACGCUUGAUGACGAGGAGCACACCUUGGCAGGCAGCAAAAGUGUGUUAGUGCCGCGAAGUUGACGGACGUCAUUGCUGCCACCUGCUCUGCUGGCAUCACAGGAGCUGUGGAGGAGGAAAAAGAUGGCAGGUGGGCGGCAGAGGAAGGAAGCCAAGUGGGGAGCACGCAGAUGGGACUGCACCACCACCAGGAUCCUCUCAGGCAGGAACAAACAGACCGGGGAUGAAGAUGCUUCCCAAUUGUGUGGGCUGCCCGAGGGAGAGGUGCGUUUGAUUCGUGCGCCUGUGAAGAGCCAUCGAGCUCGCAAUCGGCGAGGUGCGGAAGGGCAUGAUGGAGUGAUGGCGCUCAAGAAGAAGAAGGAAAGAAUGAGUGACGGGCAUUGACGUUGCCUGGAAGUCGCCAUCCUUCCUAACCCCACAAGCCCUGCCGGCCUUGAUGUUGCUGCCAGUAAGCGGGCAACCCUGCAUUUGGACGGGCGCUGGAAGUGACGCUCAUGCAGGAAGUCGAGCGCCAGUCUUUGCGUCUCUUCUGUGCACGCAUGCCUGCCUUACUGACCACAACAGGGAUCAGAGUGGUCAAGCGAACAUGGAUCCCGACCAAAUGUCAACCAGCAGUUUUCGGUGAGAAAACUGUGGUAAAAAGUCGCCACUUACCGGAGAUCAGCUGAGCUUGUGCCGUCCAUACAGCUGCCGUCGACUUCCAUUAGACACUGGCCUCAACACACCCGUGGACACACCCCUCCGACUAUCAGGUCCUAGAUGUCUUUGACAACAAGUACUCUCGCUUCUGGACCGCCAUUCAGCUUGUAGAUUUGACAGUUGGCGCUCCCGAGUUCCCUCAAUUGCUCCUUGCUUCCUCAAGUCACUCGAUUUCAGAAGUGAGUUUUGUGUGGUGGUCAUUCAUGUACACGUGUGUACCAUUCAGCUUCUCUCCCUGUUUCAGCAGUGCCAUUUUAGAUUUUCUGUUAACAAGUUUCACGUGGUGGUGUUUCUUCCAUUCAGUGGGAUGCAUGCUUCCAUGGUGUCAACGUCGACUUGAAUUUCCUUUGAUUGCAGAAAGUUGACCACUUGCUGUUCUGUUGAGGCAA